rnacentral:rRNA from 1 species
UACGUAGGGUGCAAGCGUUAAUCGGAAUUACUGGGCGUAAAGCGUGCGCAGGCGGUGAUGUAAGACAGAUGUGAAAUCCCCGGGCUCAACCUGGGAACCGCAUUUGUGACUGCAUCGCUGGAGUACGGCAGAGGGGGAUGGAAUUCCGCGCGUAGCAGUGAAAUGCGUAGAUAUGCGGAGGAACACCGAUGGCGAAGGCAAUCCCCUGGGCCUGUACUGACGCUCAUGCACGAAAGCGUGGGGAGCAAACAGG